rnacentral:rRNA from 1 species
UACGAAGGGGGCUAGCGUUACUCGGAAUUACUGGGCGUAAAGCGCGCGUAGGCGGCUUUGCAAGUCGGGUGUGAAAUCCCCAGGCUUAACCUGGGAACUGCAUUCGAGACUGCAUUGCUAGAGUAUGGGAGAGGGAAGUGGAAUUUCCGGUGUAGCGGUGAAAUGCGUAGAUAUCGGAAGGAACAUCAGUGGCGAAAGCGACUUCCUGGACCAAUACUGACGCUCAUGUGCGAAAGCGUGGGGAGCAAACAGG